AGUAACGCGUGAGUAACCUGCCUUCAAGAGGGGGAUAACAUUCUGAAAAGAAUGCUAAUACCGCAUGACAUAUCGGAACCACAUGGUUUUGAUAUCAAAGAUUUUAUCGCUUGAAGAUGGACUCGCGUCCGAUUAGUUAGUUGGUGAGGUAACAGCUCACCAAGACCGCGAUCGGUAGCCGGACUGAGAGGUUGAACGGCCACAUUGGGACUGAGACACGGCCCAGACUCCUACGGGAGGCAGCAUG
rnacentral:rRNA from 1 species